GAUGAACGCUGGCGGCGUGCCUAAUACAUGCAAGUCGAGCGAACAGGCGAGGAGCUUGCUCCUCUGACGUUAGCGGCGGACGGGUGAGUAACACGUGGAUAACCUACCUAUAAGACUGGGAUAACUUCGGGAAACCGGAGCUAAUACCGGAUAAUAUAUUGAACCGCAUGGUUCAAUAGUGAAAGACGGUUUUGCUGUCACUUAUAGAUGGAUCCGCGCCGCAUUAGCUAGUUGGUAAGGUAACGGCUUACCAAGGCAACGAUGCGUAGCCGACCUGAGAGGGUGAUCGGCCACACUGGAACUGAGACACGGUCCAGACUCCUACGGGAGGCAGCAGUAGGGAAUCUUCCGCAAUGGGCGAAAGCCUGACGGAGCAACGCCGCGUGAGUGAUGAAGGUCUUCGGAUCGUAAAACUCUGUCAUUAGGGAAGAACAAAUGUGUAAGUAACUAUGCACGUCUUGACGGUACCUAAUCAGAAAGCCACGGCUAACUACGUG
rnacentral:rRNA from 1 species